GCGACGACGUCGGCAGAGCACCAGUCAGCAGCAGCAGCAGCAGCAGCAGCGACGAGGACGACCUGCCGGCCGACGGCGGCUACAUUGUGCCGCCCUCCGAUGCGGCCCUGCCGACGGACCGGACGGGAAGAACGUGUGCUUAAAGAAGGAGAAAAAGAGAAAGAAGAUCGUUUGCAGUGACGACCCGCUGCCGCCGCUGCCCAGCUCGCCUCUGGUUGCAAACCCGCCGCACGGACUCCUGUAGUGCGAUCCGUCUCCUGCUGCCGGCGCUGCCGCAAGGCCGCAGGACUGAGCACAUCAUGAUGCCUCACAUUAUGACAACCCUCGCCGGUCCCCGGCUGGCCAUGGGGGAG